rnacentral:rRNA from 1 species
GUCUACAGCCAUGCCACUCUGAACGUGCCCCAUCUUGUCUGAUCUUGGAAGCUAAGCAGGGUUGGACCUGGUUAGUACUUAGAUGGAAUACCACCUUGGAAUACCAGGUACUGUAGGCA